CUCUGCUGAUUCCGUGAAUUUUAUAAACUUAUCUAGUUGAAAUUUGACUUUGUGUCCUUCAUAAAAGUUGUAGAUGACAUCUUGAGGAGUAACAUACUAAAAUUUGAGAAGAAACGGUCAAGUAUUGGUCAGUGAAAUGAUUUUUCCCUGAAAUGGUUAGAUCUGGAAAUCGUCACCGAGGGUUAGGAAGAGUUAUGGUGACUAUAGCUUUUGAUCUAUCAUGAAUCUGACUUCGAAUUCUUCACAAAAAUUUUACCUCUAGAUUUUUUUCUAAAACAUAUCGAAAUUUCAGAAUUUUCUGAGUUGAUUUAGGGUUUAUACCGAAUUUGUGAAUGAAACUGUGCAAUGGCGACGUUCUGAAAUUUUAAGGCUGUGAUGCAUGGACCGUAGCGACUCGUACGAAGCUCUUUUGAUAUGGUAUUCUUCAUAAAACAUUUUUCUCUAGAUCUCGUUUAUAACAUGUUAAAUUUCCA
rnacentral:lncRNA from 1 species